GCUGUAGCUCAGUGGUAGAGCACUUGCCUCGCACGCAUGAGGCACUGGGUUCGAUUCUUAGCACUGCA
rnacentral:tRNA from 1 species